CGGGAUUGUAAAUAAAGGGGAACUUCCGCCCGCAUUCCAGACUGUCACCAGAACUUACUUGCCGCUGCCGUCUUAUUUUUAUCUACAGACAUGAGUGGAGAGCUUGCGUCGUUCCUCCUGCACCUGUCAAAGAGGCAGCUGCUGACUCUCUUGCCUCCUCACACCGGCCGCCCCCGACCGUUGGACGCUUUCAACGUGGAGGAAGCAUCGGCUGCCUUCGCCUCGUCGAGAAACGUGGCUUCCCUCAGAGACACUGGCGGUCACCACACCCGUGGCCACACCCCUCCGACCUUCAGGUUGUACAGGGAACAAACCGUCAGUUUCUGGCACUGAAAUCCAUCUUAAUGUGAUCGCUACCUGUAGCAGUGUUGUUUUUGUUUUUAAACCGUGCCCUGGCUUGACCUUAUUAUUAUUCUGACAUCGGGUUAGGUCAUAGAGAAGUGUGUGUCACAGUGGUAUGAACACACACACACACUGUGCCAUGAGCAGCUGUGAGUUUUUCAUGUUCUGCUCCACCUUCUGCAUACUUGACUCAGCAGACUAUGAAUCCCUAGAUGCCCGCUCAGAUCCAGCAUUCAAAGCCUUGCUCUUGCCGCAUUAUCCCCCCCCUUCCCAUGUUUGCAUGUGACACAAAGUGGCAUUUGUAUAUAAUGUACGAUAUAUUAUUAUUUUAUUUUAUUUCUUUUUUCUACAAGCCAAACUGCUGAUAUUUAUAACGAUGGCCUAUUUAUGUAAAAAAAAAAAAAAAAGGUUCCUCCUGUAAAUAAUCAACUGUCAGUUGAAAUAAAGAUCUUUUAGUAUGAGGGGUGUUGCCUUAUGUCACAGGUGUCCGACUCAAGGCCCGUGGACCAGACCUAGAUCUACUGUACCGGCCAAAAGUACCAUGGUCCGGGCGCAUGCCGAUGCACACCACUCCGGCUGCAGCAGGCAUUUGCAGACAAACUGCAAUCUGCACACCUGUCAUAAGCCAGUGCAGACCUUCGUUCCGGGCCAGAACUCUGCCUUGGUUCCGCGUUACGAGCUGUGUGUCUCGUCUUCCCCGCGUUCCUUCUGCUUCCCUGACUGCCUCUCGGAUCUCGACAUCCCGCCUAGACACAGACCUUCUACGGCUCGGCUAUGGCCCCGGACUUCCUGCUUGUCUCCCGGACCUAUGAGCCCGCCCUGACCCUUCUGGACUUGCCUCUCGCUCAACA